AGCAGUAGCCGCGGUAACACGUAGGGUGCGAGCGUUAAUCGGAAUUACUGGGCGUAAAGCGUGCGCAGGCGGUUGUGUAAGACAGAUGUGAAAUCCCCGGGCUUAACCUGGGAACUGCGCUUGUGACUGCACAGCUAGAGUAUGGCAGAGGGGGGUGGAAUUCCGCGUGUAGCAGUGAAAUGCGUAGAUAUGCGGAGGAACACCGAUGGCGAAGGCAGCCCCCUGGGCCAACACUGACGCUCAUGCACGAAAGCGUGGGGAGCAAACAGGAUUAGAUACCCCCGUAGUCCCUGUCUCUUAUAC
rnacentral:rRNA from 1 species